GGCUGGUCCAGGUGCAGUGGUGUUUACAGCUAAUUGAUCACAGCCAGUUACAGAUUUCUUUGUUCCUUCUCCGUUCCCAUUGCUUCACUUGACUAGCCUAAA
ensembl:misc_RNA Y_RNA Y RNA